rnacentral:lncRNA from 1 species
UCUACCAUUUGUCAAUUGAAAAAUAUUACAUGUAUAUCAUUGUCUACAUAAUGGUGUCCAUAAUUACACGUAGUAUUGGAUCCAACCUUUAAUUUAAAUUUCACACUUGUACAUCAACAAUCGGAUGAUUGUCACAUCACGUUAUGGACACCAUUAUGCGCAAUAAUUAUAUACAAGUAGAAUUUUUCUUGUCAGUUUAAAUACAAUCAUUUUUUUAUCCAAUAUUUUCCUUCCACAUCAUAUUUUAUGUACAAGUAGCAAAAUUCAUCGUAACCCCAUCGCUGUAUAAAUAAAAAUUAAUCACCUAAACUUGUCCUCGACUCCAGCCAAUGCAACACGGACGGUGCUGUGCUAGUGUUGUUUUGCUACCUAUAGUCAUUAGGAUUCUCUCUGCUCUGGAUGAGAGGGAUGCCAUCUUCCCGACAGAUUUAUCCGGUCUUCACAUAAUAUAGCUACUAACUCAACAUAGAGUUUGUGCUCCUGAUCAUGAAGAACAAAGGGGAUCUGAUGCAGGGCGAAUAAUUCAAUAAAGAUAACAAGAAGAGAUGAGAGAGGGGGGAGAAGAAGAAGAACAGAGACAGAGGGAAGAAGAGAGGAAAACGACUAUAGCCAACUUUAUUAUUUAAUCAAAUUCAUCAACUCAAAAAUAACAAUGUAGAAUAGAUUUAAAUACUGAAAAUACUGCAAACCUAGGGCCAAGCCCAAUACACAAGUCCAUAAAAAUGAAAUAACCUAAAUCCAACUAAGAAAUAAAAGUCCAACUCUAGGAUGUCCUCAUCAAUUCUCCCAGGGUGGGAGAGAAAACUCGACCUUGUCGAGUGGCUAUAUCACCAUAGGCUGAGUGGCUGGGCAAGCUUCUUCUGCCGUCUGUAGAAAUGUGUCAGUGGCGGUCUGAAUCUGGUGUCCUCACCAACUCCUUUCGGGUGGACGGGAGGCGAUCUGGGCCAAUGAAGAUCCUGCUGACUUCGAUAAAACUCUAACAAAUCUGGAUCCAAUUGCUGUAGUGUCUCCCUGGAGAUCCAUGCACAGUCACAAUUUGGUCGACCAACCCUACGAAUAAGGAAGUACUGAACCUCUCCAUCAUUAGUGAACACAGUUUCUUCAUCUAAAAUAGCAUCAAUUUUUUCUUUGUGUGCUGUGAGAGGUGGUAGUGGGUUAGAAGGGGCCAAAGAAUCAGGAUCAAGGUCUACAAAAGGAGAUGACAGAGGAUCAUCUGAGGGAAUGAAAUGGCCUUUAUAAGCUACGAGGUCCUCAACAUUGAAAGUAGAGUGGUAACCAAGGUGUGGUGGAAUGUCAACAAUAUAUGCAUUUGGACCAACCUGUUUUAAAAUUUUAAAAGGACCAGCACUACAAGCUUGCAAUUUAGAGGCGGGUCCAUGUAGACGCCGCUUUGGCCUAAUGCGAACCAUAACGUAAUCCCCAAUGUUACACUCAACAUGUCGUUUGUGUAAAUCAGCUUGAAGUUUAUAUUUUGCAUUACUAGUUUCAAGUUAUUUAUUGAUCUCAAUAUGCAAGUCACAAAGAUGAUGUGCAAAUACUUUGGCUGAUACUGACACUCUAGCAUGUGGGGACAUAGGGAUGAGAUCUAACGGUUUUCUAGGCUUGUACCCAUGACCGGCUUCAAAUAGACUCAUACCUAAUGAACGAUUUAUGGAGCUAUUAUACGCAAUUUGAGCUACAGGAAGGAUUAAAUCCCAAUUUCGAAGGUUUUCCCAGACCAGACAACGUAAUAGGUUACCAAGAUUUCAAUUAACAACUUCAGUUUGACUGUCAGUCUGAAGGUGGUAGGCCGUAGAAAAUUUCAAUUUGGUACUCAUCUUGUGCCACAAAGUUCUCCAAAAAUGGCUAGUGAAACGAACGUCCCUAUUCGACACGAUGGUCUUGGGAAGCCCAUACAAUUUGACAAUUUCAUUAAAGAAUAACAGGGCAACCUUGGACACAUCCGACGUCUUGCUACAGGGGACAAAAUGAGCCAUCUUUGAGAAACGAUCGACAAACACAAAAAUAGAGUCAUGCUUUUUUGGGGUACGUGGAAGUCCUAAUACAAAAUCCAUACUAACAUCUUGCCAAGGACAAUUAGGGACAGUGAGAGGGAUGUAUAGACCUGUGUUCUGCUUUUUCUGCUUACUCAAUUGACAAGUGUUACAAGUACUAACAAUCUUAGCCACGUCUUUCUUCAAGCUAGGCCAAUAGAAUUGACGUUCAACUUCCUCUAUGAUCUUAUCACGUCCAAAAUGACCAGCUAACCCUCCCGCAUGAAUUUCCCACACAAUGAAAUCUCGCACUGAAAUUCGAGGAAUGCACAAUUUAUUGGCUCUAAAGAGAUAACCCUCCUCAAGUCGGAAGCCAUCUGUGGCGCUUGAAUGUCCCCUUUGUAAAUCAAGAAAGAUAUCUUUAAAAUCGGGACACGCCUCGUAAUCUUCCUUAAAUCUUUCAAAAUCGAUGACCUUGACACUCAUGAUCGACAAAAGGGAGACACGACGACUUAACGCAUCAGCUGUUUGGUUCUCUACGCCUUUCUUGUGUUUUAAAACAAAUGAAUAUGCCUGCAAAUAUUCGACCCAAUAACCGUGCCUAGAACUUAAUCUUUUCUGGGAGUUGAGGUAACGGAGGGCCUCGUGAUCCGAAUAAAGGACAAAUUCCUGGGAUAACAAAUAGUGGCGCCAAUAGCGCAAAGCCUGGACCACUGCAUACAGUUCAUUAUCAUAAGUUGAGUACCGCUGUUUGGCCUCGUUUAACUUCUCACUGAAAUAGGCAACAGGGUGACGAUCCUGACUUAAGACUCCGCCUAUACCUACCCUGGAGGCGUCACAUUCAACUUCAAAGACUUUGGAAAAAUCAAGAAGACGCAUGACAGGGACCUCCAUCAUUCGCUUCUUGACUAACUUAAAGGCCUUAGCCGCCUCUCGUGUCCAAUGAAACUCCCUUUUCUUCAUGCACUCCGUAAUAGGCGCCAUAAUAGUGCUAAACCCCUUAAUAAAGCGACGGUAAAAUGUAGCUAAGCCGUGAAAACUCCCGACAUCAUAAAUAACUUUGGAUUCAAGCCAGUCAAUAAUCGCCUAAACCUUAGCAGGGUCAGCGGAUACCCUUGUCGAAGAGACAAUGAACCCCAGAAAAAUGACUGUGUCGGUGAAGAAAGAGCACUUCUUGACAUUCGCAUGUGGAUUAGUUGCACGAAGGGUAGAGUAAACUUGCGUGAGGUGGUCAACGUGUUGCUCCUUAGUCUUACUAUAGAUAAGGAUAUCAUCAAAGUAGACAACAAGAAACUUGCCCAUGAAAGGUCGGAGAGUUUGUGUCAUUACUCGCAUAAAGGUACUUGGCGCAUUACUCAGCCCAAAAGGCAUGACCAGCCAUUCAUAAAGAUCAUCUUUCAUCUUAAACGCGGUCUUCCACUCAUCACCUGGGCGAAUUCGGAUCUGAUGGUAUCCACUCUUCAGAUCAAUCUUCGAAAAGAUUGUGGCACCAACCAUCAUAUCUAACAUAUCGUCAAGGCUAGGAAUGGGAAAACGAUACUUCAUCGUGAUCCUAUUGAUCGCGCGACUAUCCACACACAUUCUCCAAAAACCAUCCUUUUUGGGCAUCAAUAGGGCGGGGACAGCACACGGGCUUAAACUCCCACGAAUGAAUCCUUUGUGAAGGAGAUCAUCCACUUGCCUUUGAAGUUCAGCGUGCUCGGUAGGAUUCAUCCUAUAAUGAGAUAAAUUUGGGAGGCAUGCCCCUGGGACGAAAUCUAUGGCAUGUUGAAUAUCCCUUAGUGGAGGUAGAUGGUCAGGCAGGUCCUCCGGAAAGACGUCUCGAAACUCUUGGAGGAUCGACAGGACUUGAACAGGGCUCUCUAUUGUGGAGUGGGAUGGAACCUCCAUGACCACCAAAGCGAACACAACUGAGUCACCGACAAGUGUACGCUCAAACUCCGUAGGACUAAUGUUGUGCAAUCCUUUUCGUUCCACACUUUUUUUCGUUUCCAGUGGGCCAGCAGGCUUUGGGGGCAGUGGGUUAAGGUGAAUUUUCUUUCCAUUAAACACGAAAGAGAAGGAAUUAGAUCGACCAUAGAUGGUUACAUCUAGCUCAAAUAACCAAGGUCGUCCCAGGAUGAUGUGCCCAACGUCCAUUGAAAUAACGUCACACCAUAUAUGAUCCUUAUACUCGAGAAAUUGGAUAGGGACUAAACAAUACUCCUUGACAGCUAUGGAAGAGGUAUCAACCCAAGAGAUACAGUAUGGCUGAGGGUGAGGAACAGACUUCAACCCUAGACGGGAUACAGUAAUCAUCGAAACCACAUUAAUGCAGCUGCCACUAUCCACGAUAACUUUACAGCCCUUAUUGUUAAUCUUGAUGUAAGUGUGGAAGAUAGCAUGACGGCGCCAAUCAUCGGCAUCCCUAGGCUGGGUAAGAGUACAACGGACAACACCGACUCUAGGCGUAUGUGGGAUAAGGGGACUAGCCUGAAUACAACCCAAGAAGGUAUCUUCACUAUCCUCUAAGUCAUCAAACUCUUCUAACUUAGGCUCAUAAACCUGAUCCUCUAGUGGCUCGUCAAUUAUACCUUCACGCUCUUUCAAAACUAGGGCUCGGCUAGGACACUUAGAAGCAAUGUGACCAAAACCCUUACAGUUGAAGCAUUACAAACGAGAGGACGUUCUUGAAACCUCAGAACCUCUACCUUUACUAUCCGAUGUAGGGGUAGUAUUAGAAGGAGGAGGUAGUGGAUGCAGAAGAGGUUGCAAUACUACGACUUUUGUACGGUGUCCUAGUCACUAACUCGUAAUCCCAAACGAAAGAGUAGGCGUGGUCAAGAGUGGUGACGUCUCUAAGAACAAGCUCACGUCUAAGAUCAUCUCGUAGGCCUUGCCUAAAUCUACUCAAGGUCAUGAUUUCAUCCUCAACGACCUGACAUCUCAUUCGAAACUCGUCAAACUGAGCAACAUAUUCGGUCACAGGUCGACUGCCUUGCGUAAGUGUGUUCCAUUGAUCCAGCAAGUUGCCCCUGUAAGAUUGAGGUAAAUAUUUUUCUUCAAGGCGACGCUUCAUUUCAUCCCAGUUCCCAACAGGGAGAGCAUGGCGCCUCUCUAGGAGGUCCUCAUCACUUUUCCAAAACAGUUGAGCUGUGCCAGUUAAUUUCAAACUGGCAAAUUGUACUCUCUGAUUUUCAGGGACCCCAUACCAGGCAAAGAAGCGAUCCAUAUCUCUAAUCCAUUGAUUGAAUACACUAGGAUCUAGACAAUCAUCAAAUGUAGGGGCAUCUAACUUAAUAUUUCGAAAGAGGCGCUCCUUGUGGCGAAGGGGAGAUAGUGUACCAUGACGGUGAUACUCCCGCUCGCGUCCACGAGCUUGAUUUCCGUCCCUACGAUCAUGUCUAGCAUGGUGUCGACCACCUUGUGGAUAACGAUGUGGUCUAUUAAUGGAAGCGUCAUAAUUUUCAGCCUCAGUUGAGGAUUGGGUUGGGUCAAGAGUGUUUACCCUAGCGGUUAGGGCUCUAUUCUCCUCGCGAGUAGCGGCUAAAUCAGUUUGGACAGUCGUUAAUUGAUUUUGUAAUUGUGCCAACUGUCGGGUGAUAGCUUCAAUGUGGGAAGGGUCCAUGGUAACGGUACUAGAGUUAGAGACAGUAACACGACCACUACGUAAUUGCAUACAUGGUAACACAAGCUAGGUGAAGUGCCUACUGAGAUCAACAACCAACGAGUGCCAGCAGGGAAAAUAGUGACUGAAAUUUAUCUAUUGUUAUUAUUAUUAUUUUAUUUUAUUGUAGGGAUUACGUGUGGUCCGAUCGCAAGCUAAUACUACUAAUGCCAAUAAAAUAAAAAAGCAAAGGUACAAAUGCUAGGACUAGUCACGUGGGGUAAAGGAGUGAAUAAUGGGGUCGGCUCGUGAAUUUCAAUCCAAUAGAUUUAAGGUUAAAUUAUCAAAAUAUUAGCAACAUAAAGAAUGAAUUGAUACAAUUCUAGAGUACAGUAACAGUGUCACUAAAAAUGAAUAGGAGUAGAGACUCCCUGAAUUCAGUUGGCCUGAGUCGUCCCAGCGUCGAAUGUCUCCACUUUCUGAAUGGUUAAGCGUUGAGAUGCCAAGACAGAAAUUUCGUAUUCGUCGAGGUGUGGUACUGAUUAG